CCGGAAAGUCAAAAAGGGAACCGGAAGUCGUAACCUGGGCGCCGUAAGUCGGGGAGGGGCACAGUGAAGAGUAACGCGUGGGAAUCUACCCAUCUCUACGGAAUAACUCAGGGAAACUUGUGCUAAUACCGUAUACGCCCUUCGGGGGAAAGAUUUAUCGGAGAUGGAUGAGCCCGCGUUGGAUUAGCUAGUUGGUGGGGUAAAGGCCUACCAAGGCGACGAUCCAUAGCUGGUCUGAGAGGAUGACCAGCCACACUGGGACUGAGACACGGCCCAGACUCCUACGGGAGGCAGCAGUGGGGAAUAUUGGACAAUGGGCGCAAGCCUGAUCCAGCCAUGCCGCGUGAGUGAUGAAGGCCCUAGGGUUGUAAAGCUCUUUCACCGGUGAAGAUAAUGACGGUAACCGGAGAAGAAGCCCCGGCUAACUUCGUGCCAGCAGCCGCGGUAAUACGAAGGGGGCUAGCGUUGUUCGGAAUUACUGGGCGUAAAGCGCACGUAGGCGGAUCGGUCAUUUAGGGGUGAAAUCCCAGGGCUCAACCCUGGAACUGCCUUUUAUACUGCCGGUCUAGAGUUCAAGAGAGGUGAGUGGAAUUCCGAGUGUAGAGGGUGAAAUUCGUAAAUAUUCGGAAGGAACCCCAAUGGCCAAAGGCGGUUCACUGGUUCAAUAUUGACCUUAAGGUGCAAAGCGUGGGGAGAAACAGGAUUUA
rnacentral:rRNA from 1 species